GGCACAGUCUCACAUUGACGCCAUGGAGGUAACCUUGGGCGAAGCCAAGAUCUUGGUGGAAGAGGCUAAAGGAUCCCUUAAAAUUAGGGCCACCCAGCUCCAAGAGAGUGAAAUUAAGGCUGCAUACAUGCAGGACCAGUUGGUGAGAACUGAGAGAACUGUGCACCAAGUUAGAGAAGAGGUGACUCAGGCAAGGGAGG
rnacentral:lncRNA from 1 species